AAAAAACUUUCUUUGGGUUACAGUCACCAUUGGAAUUCUUUGUUGAGAAGGUCGUUGUGGUAGAGUAGACCUGCUUCGGUUUGGCUUAGUUGGAACUGAACCUCGAGUUUGGAGCAUAUCUGAGUUUUCCCUGGAUCAAAAGCAAUGUGUGAUCCUUGUGUCCUUUGUUGCGUAACCUACGAUCACUGUUCGUCCUGUUCAUGCAGUGAUGUGCACGUUUGCUACCAUUCUUGCUCACAUAAUCACUGCCAUCGUUACUGCCGGUGCUAUCGACAUCGUUGCUAUUAUUGCUGGAAGCGCAAGUGUCUACUACUUUAAAAUAGUCGUGAUGUUUGGCAAGCGGAGUAGGCGACAUCAGGGAAGCGAAGGAUAGGAGAAAAAGGACAUGCUGCGCAUAGAUCGGUAGUGUUGGAUUAUUAUAUUUGACCUUCUCAUAGAUUUCAAGGAGGACUAUGAUUCAAAUGGAUUCGUCAAGAAUGCAGGGGGAUCAUAGCGAAUAGAGAAACAUUUUUGAGUUAGGAGAGUAGAUGAUUCAUGGAUUCGCUUUCAAGAAUUUUUGGGAGUUUCCUCAGUGAAAUUCGACGUUAAGUGAUGUGAAUUUUGAAUGUAAAACUUUAUCUGGUAGUCGUGUUAGGAUCUAUUAAAGGCGCAGUUUUGAUUUGACUGUAAAACCGUU